rnacentral:misc_RNA from 1 species
GAAAUGCGAUAAGUAAUGUGAAUUGUAGAAUUCAGUGAAUCAUCGAAUCUUUGAACGCACAUUGCGCCCGCCAGCACUCUGGCGGGCAUGCCUGUUCGAGCGUCAUUUCAACCCUCAGAACCCCUUGCGGGAUCUGGCGUUGGGGAUUGGCAUCCAGCCAGCCCCGAAAUCUAGUGGCGGUCCCUCCGCGACCUCCCCUGUGCAGUACCGAUACCUCGCAGCGGGACAGCGGUCUGACCACGCCGUAAAACCCCCAACUUCUCAAGGUUGACCUCGAAUCAGGUAGGAAUACCCGCUGAACUUAAGC